rnacentral:misc_RNA from 1 species
UUUUGGGGGGGUAUUAGGGAUUUUGGUUUUGGUGGCGGUGGGAAAUCGAAGGGCAUCGCAUCUUUACGAUGCAUUCGGUGUCGCCUUUUCUAUUUGAUCUGUUGACUUUACCUCAAGCUGCUUCUUUCUAUGGAGUUUUGUGUUCUCAUCGUUUGAAGCCUUGGCGUAAUAGUUUUAGUUAACGUUUAGUUUCAUCUUCGUCUGUUUUCUUUUUCUUCUGUUGUUGCUGUUUCAGUUGUGAUCUUGCUGGUUUUCUGUUUCUUUCGAGGGGAUUUUUCAGCUGUUUCACAUCUUUUUCCGAGUAGUUGUAGUCGAAUCUGGUGGAAGUUUGCGUGAUUUUGCUAUACAUCGACAUACUGAAAGAUUUUUGCUGCUCUCUUUAAUUGAUGGCCGUUUGUUCUGCUACUUACAAGUGUGACUCUGAAAGUUUAAGUUGCUUUUGUGAGUCAUCAAAGGAGACUCUUGGUUCCGCUUCUUGCUAUCCAGGAGGUCCUUUUGUUAGUGAUCUUGGGUACCAUUUCACUGAAUCUCUGAGUAUUAAGGAUGGUGAAGACUUGAUUUACAAGGAACAUUCCAACACAUUGGAGGAAGAUGGAACUGAAGAUAUGCAUGCAAAUGAUGCUGACACUGGCAGUACGGACUCAGAGAAAUGCUUGAUCAAGUCCUCAGAAUUUCCAUGCUCUUCUAUGAGCACUCCCCCUGCUGAGUUGGUUCAUGAGAAGGAGCAGGAGGCUGAUGCUAAAUCAACUGACUUGCCUUAUUCACGUUCCAUAUCUUCACCUACAGCUUUGAAGCUUAUAUCUGCCAUUAAAGGUAGCCGUGAGAAACAAGGCAAGCCACCCAAGAAGCUGUCUGUGACAUGGGCUCCCGAUGUGUAUGACCCUAUCCCAACAGCAGCUUCGCAUGUGCCAAUCAAGGGGCAACGCCACAGGAGUGACCACAGGAAGAAUGGAAAGAGCAAGCAGAAAAGUAAUGGCAAAUCUUCACGUGGAAGCAAAGGUAAAGACAAGAAACAAGGUCGCAAACAUGGUGGAAGUACCAGGAGGAGUUAUUAUCCUCUAGAGGAUAAGGACAUAAUGAGUUGUAAUCGCUUUCACUGUCUGGAGGAUGAAAUUACUGCUCAUUCUAGUGGGCUGCAGGCUGGUGCCAUGGAUUAUGAUAUUGGCAGCCCCCCGGAUUCAUUCUGCGGUAGCAGUUUCCGAAAGAAAUCUGUCACAGAGUUGCAUUUCCCAGUUGCAAAGGCUUCAUGAGCUUCCUUUCUGAUCGUUGGUGUGUUUUCUUCUCGAUUGUUUCCUUCUAGUUGUAAAUAAAUAAGUUUGACGCUUAUCUGAGUUGUGGGAGUUGUUAUAGAGUUGUUGGCAUUUUUGUACUUAAAAAAACUUCUUAACUUUUGACCUGUUGAAUGGACGGAUGACUUUUUG